UAAGGUGGUUAUUGCAUAGGGGUUCCACCUCUUCCCAUUCCGAACAGAGAAGUUAAGCCCUAUCGCGCCGAUGGUACUGCAGAGAUGUGGGAGAGUAGGUCGCCGCCCUUU
rnacentral:rRNA from 1 species